UACGAAGGGGGCUAGCGUUGUUCGGAAUUACUGGGCGUAAAGCGCACGUAGGCGGAUUGCCAAGUCAGGGGUGAAAUCCCGGGGCUCAACCUCGGAACUGCCUUUGAUACUGUCAGUCUAGAGUCCGGAAGAGGUGGGUGGAAUUCCUAGUGUAGAGGUGAAAUUCGCAGAUAUUAGGAAGAACACCGGUGGCGAAGGCGGCCCACUGGUCCGGAACUGACGCUGAGGUGCGAAAGCGUGGGGAGCAAAC
rnacentral:rRNA from 1 species